rnacentral:rRNA from 1 species
UACGGAGGGUGCGAGCGUUAUCCGGAAUCACUGGGUUUAAAGGGUGCGUAGGCGGUUAUAUAAGUCAGUGGUGAAAGGCCGUCGCUUAACGAUGGGACUGCCAUUGAUACUGUAUAACUUGAGAGAGGUUGAGGUUGGCGGAAUGUGGCAUGUAGCGGUGAAAUGCUUAGAUAUGCCAUAGAACACCAAUUGCGAAGGCAGCUGACUAGACCUCAUCUGACGCUGAGGCACGAAAGCGUGGGGAGCGAACAGG